GAUGAAGAACGUAGCGAAAUGCGAUAAGUAGUGUGAAUUUCAGAAUUCAGUGAAUCAUCGAAUCUUUGAACGCACAUUGCGCCCCUUGGUAUUCCAUGGGGCAUGCCUGUUCGAGCGUCAUUUGUACCUUCAAGCUUUGCUUGGUGUUGGGUGUUUGUCUCGCCUUUGCGUGUAGACUCGCCUUAAAAUAAUUGGCAGCCGGCGUAUUGAUUUCGGAGCGCAGUACAUCUCGCGCUUUGCACUCAUAACGACAGCGUCCAAAAGUACAUUUUACACUCUUGACCUCGGAUCAGGUAGGGAUACCCGCUGAACUUAAGCAUAUCAAUAAGCGGAGGA
rnacentral:misc_RNA from 1 species